rnacentral:rRNA from 1 species
UGGAAAAGGAUGUGGGAUUUCAGAGACAACUAGGAUGUUGGCUUAGAAGCAGCCAUACAUUUAAAGAGUGCGUAACAGCUCACUAGUCGAGAAAACCUGCGCCGAAAAUUUAACGGGGCUAAAACACGACACCGAAGCUACGGCUUGACAGCUAACGCUGUUAGGGGUAGAGGAGCAUCCUGCAAGGACGAAGCCAAAGUGGAAACGAUGGUGGACGAAACAGGAGAGAGAAUGCCGGAAUGAGUAGCGAGAUAGAAGUAAGAAACUUCUAGGCCGAAUAUCUAAGGUUUCCUGGGUAAAGCUAAUCUUCCCAGGGUUAGUCGGGGCCUAAGGCGAGGACGAAAGUCGUAGUCGAUGGAUAACAGGUUGAUAUUCCUGUACUACGUAUCAUCAGAACUGUGGGGACGCAGGAGGAUAGGAAAACCGGGGAAUGGAAAAACCCGGCUAAGCACAAAGUCAAGGGAGAUAGGCAAAUCCGUCUCUUGAUGAUGAAGUGCGAUGGGGACUGAACAAAAGUAGGGAAGUUUCCGAAUCCACACUGUCGAGAAAAGCCGCUAUUGUGUGAUACGUACCCGUACCGUAAACCGACACAGGUAGAUGAGGAGAAAAUCCACAGGCCGACGGGAGAAGUGUUGUUAAGGAACUCGGCAAAAUGACCCCGUAACUUAGGGAGAAGGGGAGCCACGCAAGUGGCCGCAGAAAAGAGGCUCAAGCGACUGUUUAGCAAAAACACAGGUCUCUGCGAAACCGAAAGGUGAAGUAUAGGGGCUGACACCUGCCCGGUGCUGGAAGGUUAAAAGGAGAGGUUCGACGUAAGUCAAAGCUUUGAAUUCAAGCCCCAGUAAACGGCGGCCGUAACUAUAACGGUCCUAAGGUAGCGAAAUUCCUUGUCAGGUAAGUUCUGACCCGCACGAAAGGCGUAAUGAUUUGAGCACUGUCUCGACAACACGCCCGGUGAAAUUGAAGAACCAGUGAAGAUACUGGUUACCCGCAACAGGACGGAAAGACCCCAUGGAGCUUUACUGCAGCCUGAUACUGGGAUUCGAUGAUAUAUGUACAGGAUAGGAGGGAGACUAGGAAUCCGGGACGCCAGUUUCGGAGGAGUCGACGGUGGGAUACCUCUCUUAUGUUAUUGGAUUUCUAACUUGGCACCGUGAUCCGGUGUGAGGACAAUGUCAGGCGGGCAGUUUGACUGGGGCGGUCGCCUCCUAAAAGGUAACGGAGGCGCUCGAAGGUCACCUCAGAAUGAUUGGAAACCAUUCAAAGAGUGUAAAGGCAAAAGGUGGCUUGACUGCGACACCGACGGGUGGAGCAGGUACGAAAGUAGGACUUAGUGAUCC